AUCUCCUAAGGCUAAAUACUCUCUAGUGACCGAUAGUGAACCAGUACCGUGAGGGAAAGGUGAAAAGUACCCCGGAAGGGGAGUGAAAGAGAACUUGAAACCGUGUGCUUACAAGUAGUCAGAGCCCGUUAAUGGGUGAUGGCGUGCCUUUUGUAGAAUGAACCGGCGAGUUACGAUCUGAUGCAAGGUUAAGCAGAAAAUGUGGAGCCGUAGCGAAAGCGAGUCUGAAUAGGGCGAAUGAGUAUUUGGUCGUAGACCCGAAACCAGGUGAUCUACCCUUGGUCAGGUUGAAGUUCAGGUAACACUGAAUGGAGGACCGAACCGACUUACGUUGAAAAGUGAGCGGAUGAACUGAGGGUAGCGGAGAAAUUCCAAUCGAACUUGGAGAUAGCUGGUUCUCUCCGAAAUAGCUUUAGGGCUAGCCUCAAGUGAUGAUUAUUGGAGGUAGAGCACUGUUUGGACGAGGGGCCCCUCUCGGGUUACCGAAUUCAGACAAACUCCGAAUGCCAAAUAAUUUAACUUGGGAGUCAGAAUGUGGGUGAUAAGGUCCAUAUUCGAAAGGGAAACAGCCCAGACCACCAGCUAAGGUCCCAAAAUAUAUGUUAAGUGGAAAAGGAUGUGGCGUUGCCCAGACAACUAGGAUGUUGGCUUAGAAGCAGCCAUCAUUUAAAGAGUGCGUAAUAGCUCACUAGUCGAGUGACACUGCGCCGAAAAUGUACCGGGGCUAAACAUAUUACCGAAGCUGUGGAUUGUCCUUUGGACAAUGGUAGGAGAGCGUUCUAAGGGCGUUGAAGCAUGAUCGCAAGGACAUGUGGAGCGCUUAGAAGUGAGAAUGCCGGUGUGAGUAGCGAAAGACGGGUGAGAAUCCCGUCCACCGAUUGACUAAGGUUUCCAGAGGAAGGCUCGUCCGCUCUGGGUUAGUCGGGUCCUAAGCUGAGGCCGACAGGCGUAGGCGAUGGAUAACAGGUUGAUAUUCCUGUACCACCAUUAUUCGUUUUAAGCGAUGGGGGGACGCAGUAGGAUAGGCGAAGCGUGCUGUUGGAGUGCACGUCCAAGCAGUGAGAUUGAGUGUUAGGCAAAUCCGGCACUCUUAAGAUUGAGCUGUGAUGGGGAGAGGAACUUGUUCCUCGAGUCGUUGAUUUCACACUGCCGAGAAAAGCCUCUAGCUAGAAUAACGGUGCCCGUACCGCAAACCGACACAGGUAGUCAAGAUGAGAAUUCUAAGGUGAGCGAGCGAACUCUCGUUAAGGAACUCGGCAAAAUGACCCCGUAACUUCGGGAGAAGGGGUGCUCUUUGAGGUUCACGCUUCGAAGAGCCGCAGUGAAUAGGCCCAAGCGACUGUUUAUCAAAAACACAGGUCUCUGCUAAACCGUAAGGUGACGUAUAGGGGCUGACGCCUGCCCGGUGCUGGAAGGUUAAGAGGAGUGGUU
rnacentral:rRNA from 1 species